rnacentral:tRNA from 1 species
GAGGGUAGAGUGCAAUGGUAGAGCACAUGCUCAGCAUGCAUGAGGUCCUGGGUUCAAUCCCCAGUACCUUUG